rnacentral:rRNA from 1 species
GACGGAGGGUGCAAGCGUUGUUCGGAUUGACUGGGCGUAAAGGGCGUGUAGGCGGUCGGUUAAGUCUGGUGUGAAAGCCCGGGGCUCAGCUCCGGAAGUGCAUCGGAAACUAGCCGACUCGAGCGCGAUAGAGGAGGGUGGAAUUCCUGGUGUAGCGGUGAAAUGCGUAGAUAUCAGGAGGAACACCGGCGGCGAAGGCGGCCCUCUGGAUCGUUGCUGACGCUGAGACGCGAAAGCGUGGGGAGCAAACAGG